CAUGCAAGUCGAACGGUAACAGGAAGCAGCUUGCUGCUUCGCUGACGAGUGGCGGACGGGUGAGUAAUGUCUGGGAAACUGCCUGAUGGAGGGGGAUAACUACUGGAAACGGUAGCUAAUACCGCAUAACGUCGCAAGACCAAAGAGGGGGACCUUCGGGCCUCUUGCCAUCGGAUGUGCCCAGAUGGGAUUAGCUAGUAGGUGGGGUAACGGCUCACCUAGGCGACGAUCCCUAGCUGGUCUGAGAGGAUGACCAGCCACACUGGAACUGAGACACGGUCCAGACUCCUACGGGAGGCAGCAGUGGGGAAUAUUGCACAAUGGGCGCAAGCCUGAUGCAGCCAUGCCGCGUGUAUGAAGAAGGCCUUCGGGUUGUAAAGUACUUUCAGCGGGGAGGAAGGGAGUAAAGUUAAUACCUUUGCUCAUUGACGUUACCCGCAGAAGAAGCACCGGCUAACUCCGUGCCAGCAGCCGCGGUAAUACGGAGGGUGCAAGCGUUAAUCGGAAUUACUGGGCGUAAAGCGCACGCAGGCGGUUUGUUAAGUCAGAUGUGAAAUCCCCGGGCUCAACCUGGGAACUGCAUCUGAUACUGGCAAGCUUGAGUCUCGUAGAGGGGGGUAGAAUUCCAGGUGUAGCGGUGAAAUGCGUAGAGAUCUGG
rnacentral:rRNA from 1 species